GAUGAACGCUGGCGGCGUGCUUAACACAUGCAAGUCGAACGGAGACAUUAAGGAGCUUGCUCCGAGAUGUUUUAGCGGCGGACGGGUGAGUAACGCGUGAGCAAUCUGUCCCAUACAGGGGGAUAACACUUGGAAACAGGUGCUAAUACCGCAUGAGACCACAACGUCACAUGGCGAAGGGGUCAAAGGAGCAAUCCGGUAUGGGGUGAGCUCGCGUCCGAUUAGCUGGUUGGUGAGGUAACGGCCCACCAAGGCGACGAUCGGUAGCCGACCUGAGAGGGUGAUCGGCCACAUUGGAACUGAGAGACGGUCCAAACUCCUACGGGAGGCAGCAGUGGGGAAUAUUGGGCAAUGGGCGAAAGCCUGACCCAGCAACGCCGCGUGAGGGAAGAAGGUUUUCGGA
rnacentral:rRNA from 1 species